rnacentral:rRNA from 1 species
UAUAAAGUCUGACCUGCCCAAUGAUGAUUUAAAUGGCCGCGGUAUUUUGACCGUGCAAAGGUAGCAUAAUAAUUAGUUUUUUAAUUGAAAGCUGGAAUGAAUGGUUGGACGAGAAAAUAACUGUCUCAAGUUAAUUUAAUUAGAAUUUUAUUUUUAAGUAAAAAAGCUUAAAUUUUUUUAAAAGACGAGAAGACCCUAUAGAGCUUUAUAUAUUUAUAAUUAAAGAUAAUGUGGGAUUUUAGGGUUUUUAUUUUUAAAUGUAUUUUAUUGGGGUGAUAAAAAAAUUAAUAAAACUUUUUUUUUAUAUUUACAUUAAUUUAUGAUUUGUUGAUCCAUUUUUUAUGAUUAAAAGAUUAAGUUACCUUAGGGAUAACAGCGUAAUUUUUUUUUAGAGUUCUUAUCGAAAGAAGAGAUUGCGACCUCGAUGUUGGAUUAAAAUUAAUAUUUGGUGAAGAUGCUAGAUAAUUAGGUCUGUUCGACCUUUAAAAUUUUACA